rnacentral:rRNA from 1 species
AGAGUUUGAUCAUGGCUCAGAUUGAACGCUGGCGGCAGGCUUAACACAUGCAAGUCGAGCGGUAACAGGGGGAGCUUGCUCCCCGCUGACGAGCGGCGGACGGGUGAGUAAUGCAUAGGAAACUGCCCAGUAGUGGGGGAUAGCCCGGGGAAACCCGGAUUAAUACCGCAUACGCCCUUCGGGGGAAAGCAGGGGAUCUUCGGACCUUGCGCUAUUGGAUGUGCCUAUGUCGGAUUAGCUAGUUGGUGGGGUAAGAGCCUACCAAGGCGACGAUCCGUAGCUGGUCUGAGAGGAUGAUCAGCCACACUGGAACUGAGACACGGUCCAGACUCCUACGGGAGGCAGCAGUGGGGAAUAUUGGACAAUGGGGGCAACCCUGAUCCAGCCAUGCCGCGUGUGUGAAGAAGGCUUUCGGGUUGUAAAGCACUUUCAGUGAGGAGGAAAACCUUAAGUUUAAUACGCUUGAGGCUUGACGUUACUCACAGAAGAAGCACCGGCUAACUCCGUGCCAGCAGCCGCGGUAAUACGGAGGGGGCUAGCGUUGUUCGGAAUUACUGGGCGUAAAGCGUACGUAGGCGGAUCAGAAAGUAUGGGGUGAAAUCCCAGGGCUUAACCCUGGAACUGCCUCAUAAACUCCUGGUCUUGAGUUCGAGAGAGGUGAGUGGAAUUGCGAGUGUAGAGGUGAAAUUCGUAGAUAUUCGCAGGAACACCAGUGGCGAAGGCGGCUCACUGGCUCGAUACUGACGCUGAGGUACGAAAGUGUGGGGAGCAAACAGGAUUAGAUACCCUGGUAGUCCACACCGUAAACGAUGAAUGCCAGUCGUCGGGCAGUAUACUGUUCGGUGACACACCUAACGGAUUAAGCAUUCCGCCUGGGGAGUACGGUCGCAAGAUUAAAACUCAAAGGAAUUGACG